rnacentral:lncRNA from 10 species
GCGUUCAGUUCACAUCAAGGAUGGGUAUGCACUGGCGGAAAAGCUUACCAUUGCCCAGAAGAUAUCACAGGCCAUUCAAUGUGAGCACCAAGAAGAAAGGGUAUAUCCAUCCUAUUUUUCUCUAAGACUACAGUCUUGGCCUCUGUCUCUGUCUGCCUCCAGAGAGAGAUUUAGCUUUUGAUCACCUCCAACAAACAACAUCCUUUAGGAUAUUGAAACUGACAAAAGACAGCCUACAAAAUCCUAUGGUUUACAUUAAAAGUCUGAAGGCAUUGCCAUGUUCCGGAUCUGGGGGUUAACAGUGCAUGACGAAGCACAUACCCUCAGUAAGAAUUUAAUUUAGCUCGAAUAUGAAGGGAUGCUUUAUGAGACAAACUGGCAGCAGUUCCAUGGGGUGAGCAGAGAAGUGAGACUAUAAAACAGAAGACAAUUUGCUAUUUCUAAAUUGCUCCCUCUCAAAAACUGUGGUGGGUGUCUUAAAAUCAUCUCGUAUAUCCUUUUACCCAGUAAUCUCAAUUCUAGGAAUGUAUUCUAACAAAAUAAUUGGGCAAGUCCACAAGGAGGUAUGUGGACUACUGUUUAUAUCAUGCCUUUGUUUAUAAUAGGAAAAAAAAACCAACAGAAAAACAAAGGUCCAUCAGUAGGAAAUAAAGUAUUGAUUAGGCAUAUAAUGAAAUUAUAUGCAACUUUUAGAAUGCUGAAAAAGUAUAGUACAUUAGACUUCAGACAUCAGCAUUUAGUUUAGUAUACUAUACUAUUAAGUAAAACAGUUUUAAAAUAGAUUUUAUAAAAUAUCUUUGUUUUAAAACAAAGUGUGUUGUAAGAAUAGAAAAGAACUAGAAUAUACAAUAAAAUGUUAAUUAUCGUGUUUUCUGGUUAGUAAAA